AUACGGAGGGUCCGAGCGUUAUCCGGAAUUAUUGGGUUUAAAGGGUCCGUAGGCGGGCCAUUAAGUCAGGGGUGAAAGUCUGCGGCUCAACCGUAGAAUUGCCUUUGAUACUGAUGGUCUUGAGUUAUAGUGAAGUUGGCGGAAUAUGUAGUGUAGCGGUGAAAUGCAUAGAUAUUACAUAGAACACCGAUUGCGAAGGCAGCUGACUAACUAUAUACUGACGCUGAGGGACGAAAGCGUGGGGAGCGAACAGGAUUAGAAACCCCGGUAGUCC
rnacentral:rRNA from 1 species